CAUCAGAUGACUGAAAGCAAGUAAUGGUCUCUUAAACCAGCGCAUGGUAUACUAGCAAGUACCUCUGAUGA
rnacentral:tRNA from 1 species